ensembl:ribozyme
UGAAAGUUGUUUCUUGACCAGUUGCCUACAGCUGAUGAGCUCCAGUAAGAGCGAAACCAGUUCUCACCCACUGAAAUGAUUUCGAAGUGUGAAUUGGUCCUGUAGUACUGUGAUCAGAAACAGAAA